rnacentral:rRNA from 1 species
UACGAAGGGGGCUAGCGUUGCUCGGAAUGACUGGGCGUAAAGGGCGCGUAGGCGGAUUGCACAGUCGGGCGUGAAAUUCCUGGGCUUAACCUGGGGGCUGCGUUCGAGACGUGUGGUCUGGAGUGCGGAAGAGGGUCGUGGAAUUCCCAGUGUAGAGGUGAAAUUCGUAGAUAUCUGGAAGAACACCAAAGGCGAAGGCAGUGUCCUGGGUGGUCGCUGACGCUGAGAGGCGAAAGCCAGGGGAGCGAACGGG